rnacentral:rRNA from 1 species
AUGGUGGAUGCACCUCUGUACAAGCAGCACCGCAGGUACACCAGGGAGCUCCACGACAUCGACCUCCACGGCAACCACAAGCUCCAAGUCAUUGUCACAAGCAAGGGUCAAGACGUGGACAAGAUGCUAUCCACGCUUAGGAGGAAGCUCGGCGGAAUGCCCGUCAAACUAGUCGAUGUUGAUGUCGAGUACACGUACGACAUGAAGCCACAGCGGGCAGCAGUGCUCCAGCUAUGCGUAGAAUAA